rnacentral:tRNA from 1 species
GGGGGAUUAGCUCAGUUGGUCAGAGCGCUUGCAUGACACGCAAGAGGUCCCGAGUUCGAGUCUCGGAUCUCCCACCA